CGCAGCUAUCGCUAUGGCCGUUGCUGAGGAGAAGCAGGCUUAUACUUCACCUGGUGACGACACAAAGAGGAAGAGGAAGCGAAAGCGAAACCGGGCAAACAAAGUUUUCGCCGCAGAAGAACCGGAGCAACAAAACCCUAAUCAAAUUGAUGAAGAAGAAGAGGAGGAGAGAGAAAUUGAGGUUGUGAAAGACAAUAAGGAUAAGAGGAAAAAGAAGAAUAAGAAGUUGAAGAACAAUGAAGGUGGAAAUGCUGAGGAAGAGUUGGAUGAGGAAGAUUUGGAGGAAGAGAAGGUGGAAAAAAAGGUGAAGAGCGGGGGUGGGAUUAUGAGUGCAGAUUCUUUUGACUCUUUAGGAUUAUCUGAACCUACUCUCAAGGCCAUUCAGGAGAUGGGAUUUCAGUAUUUGACUAAGAUUCAAGCCAGAGCAAUUCCACCCCUUCUGAUCGGCAAAGAUGUUCUUGGUGCUGCAAGGACAGGUUCUGGGAAAACACUUGCUUUCUUAAUACCAGCUGUGGAGUUGUUAUAUAAUGUCAGUUUCACUCCUCGCAAUGGAACAGGCGUUGUUGUCAUUUGCCCAACAAGGGAACUUGCCAUACAGACUCAUGCUGUUGCAAAGGACCUUCUCAAAUAUCACUCGCAAACUCUUGGCUUGGUCAUUGGGGGUUCUGCUAGAAAAGGAGAAGCAGAACGUAUCACGAAAGGGGUAAAUUUAUUGGUUGCAACUCCUGGUCGACUUCUUGAUCAUCUUCAAAAUACGAAGGGAUUUAUAUACAAGAACUUGAAGUGCCUCAUGAUUGAUGAAGCGGAUAGGAUAUUGGAGGCCAACUUUGAGGAAGAAAUGAAACAAAUUAUCAAGCUUCUGCCAAAGAGUAGGCAAACUGCUUUAUUUUCAGCAACUCAAACUGAGAAGGNNNNNNUUGAGGAUCUUGCCCGCUUGUCGUUUCAGACUACUCCUAUCUAUAUUGAUGUGGAUGAUGGAAGAACUAAGGUCACAAAUGAAGGGUUGCAGCAAGGCUAUUGUGUAGUGCCUAGUGCCAAGAGAUUUAUUCUUCUCUACUCAUUUCUGAAGAGGAAUUUAUCGAAGAAAGUGAUGGUCUUCUUCUCUUCAUGUAACUCGGUCAAGUUCCACUCUGAACUUCUCAGAUACAUUCAGGUUGAAUGCCUUGAUAUCCAUGGAAAACAAAAGCAGCAGAAACGGACCUCUACCUUUUUUGAUUUCUGCAAAGCAGAGAAGGGGAUCUUGCUAUGUACUGAUGUUGCUGCUCGUGGACUUGAUAUU
rnacentral:misc_RNA from 1 species